rnacentral:rRNA from 1 species
ACCGGGAUGAGCUCAAAUUUAAAAUCUGGCGUCUUUCAGGCGUCCGAGUUGUAAUCUAUAGAGGCGUUUUCCGCGCCGGACCGCGUCCAAGUCUCUUGGAAUAGAGUAUCAAAGAGGGUGACAAUCCCGUACUUGACGCGACAACCGGUGCUCUGUGAUACGUUCUCAAUGAGUCGAGUUGUUUGGGAAUGCAGCUCUAAAUGGGUGGUAAAUUCCAUCUAAGGCUAAAUAUUGGCGAGAGACCGAUAGCGAACAAGUACCGUGAGGGAAAGAUGAAAAGCACUUUGGAAAGAGAGUUAAACAGCACGUGAAAUUGUUAAAAGGGAAACGAUUGAAGUCAGUCGUGUGAAAGGUAUUCAGCCGUCUCUGGCGGUGUAUUUGCCUUUCACGGGUCAACAUCAGUUUGAUCCGGUAGAAAAAGGCGGGAGGAAGGUGGCACCCUCGGGUGUGUUAUAGCCUCCUGUCAUAUGUGCCGGACCAGACUGAGGAACGCAGCUUGCCGCAAGGCCGGGGUUCGCCCACGUACAAGCUUAGGAUGUUGACAUAAUGGCUUUAAACGACCCGUCUUG